GAGGGUAUAGCUCAAGACGUAGAGCACGUGCUUAGCAUGCACAGGGUCCUGGGUUCAAUCCCUGGUACCUCCU
rnacentral:tRNA from 1 species